UUUGCUUGCCUUUCCACCCCCGCCGCCCUGGCAAUGGUUUGUCCUGGAGCAAAGCAUAAAGGGAACCGAAGGGGCGGGAGGCCGUCCUUCUGUUUCUGGCGCGCGAGGGGAGCGGGCUUGUCUCGGCGGUUAUGGAGAAGGCAACGAAGCGCCCCGGGCUAGCGCGCGGCGAAAGCCUCGGAGGCUCCCCGGACGGAAAUGGGGGCCUCGAGGAAGACUUCCGGCACCCCUCGUGACGUUGCGCUGCCAAGGCGCGUGCCGGGCCGCCGAUUGCGAAACGCGAGACCAGUAGAAGCACGUGGUGGAGUCGGAACUCAACGGGAAGACCCUGCGUGCGUCCGCCUGGUUUUAGCCCCUUGGCUUCUAUUCUAACAAGAUGUAAGCAGGAAAAACUGCCAUUUAGAAUGCAAACAAUGCUUAGGAUAUAGAAUGACUGAACCAGAAAGUGAAAGAGAGAAGAUGGGCUUUUUGUAUAAAUACUGGCAAAAGAACUAUUGUUCUGAGGCAGUUUCACAGCAACACUGCACUAGACCUACAACACAAUGCAAGAAUAGUGCUGUGGCAUCUUUUAAACUGCAAAUUUAUUUCCCAAGGGGAGGGGCGGGACUCGAAAAUGGCAUCCAGUUGAAAGAGGCAUCCAACCAAAAUUCUGGACAUGAUGCAAGAUUGACACCUUUGUCAUCAUCAAAUGCUCCCAAAUUGAAGAAACGCACGGCCUAGUCAAUAAUAUAUUCCCUGGGAUCAAAUUUAUAUGCAAAGGAAACAGACAACAGAUACUCAUUCCUCGAUGAUGACAUAAGGAGGCUAGACAUUGGAGAAUUAGAAACCUGUGCCUAUCGCAAACCCCCACACACAGGCCACAUCCUCGGCUUUGUAAGCAAUCACCCCACCCCACACAAAAGAAACUGUCCGGAAAGGCGAGAACACACUGCAGCACGUCAACGCUAAAAAAAGCAGAAGAGAAACAGCUGCUUGAUGUCUUUCUCUGUAAUGGCUAUCCAGAAAACUUCAUAUUCUGACACACAGCAACCACACCACACCGCCAACUGUUUUGGCUGUACAUCUGUUUGAUGAAAAAAGUAUACAAAGUUUCAGCAUUGAGCAAUUUUGGCUAUUGGACUUAGCUGCCUUCUGUAAUUUAAAAGAUUUCUAUGACUAUGGCCAUAGUUUGCAGUACUGUUUAUAAAACCACUUUUGAUUGCACUAAGGAUCCUGAUAUAAACUAUUUUGUUUUAUCUGUUAACUUCUUGGAUUUUGUUCAAUAACUAUAGUAAAUUAUACUUAUAACUGUCCAUUUAAGAACAGUUCAAAGUGACUGAAAAAGUGACUUAAAACCUCUCCUUGUACUUGAUUGCUGUGCCACCCCUUACAGUCAAGUAAUUGAAAAUUGGGUGUUAGGAAGUUAAAAGAGAAAAAUAUAAAUUACAAGAAUUUGCAGAUCUAGUUUUUAUUUUAGAGGAACCACUAAAAUCAGGUCUGAGACUUACAGAGAAAUUGGAGGAAUAUGGAGAAGGAGCCGGACAAAAAUAAGGAAAAAACUAAAAUGGUAGCCAAAAAUAUGACAAACUGAUGAAUUGGCAAAGGGAAUGAAAAUUCAGAUAGUGAAAAAAGUGAAAUUUCUAGGAAUUUACUUAAUGGCAAAGUGUAUAACGAAGAGGACAACUAUACAAAGCUAACAAAUCAAAUUAAAUUGGAUAUGGAGAAAUGGAAGAAUCUGCAACUUUCCUUAAUGGGCAGAAUAGCUGCAAUAAAAAUGAGCAUUCUGCCAAAGACUCUAUUUCAAAAUACACGCAUAAAAUUAGAGAAAAUAUUUUGAAGAUCUGAACAAAACAAUGCUUAAGUUUAUAUGCCAAGGGAAAAAACCCAAGAAUUAAUCAAAAGAAAGUUUGGUCUGCCUCACUGGGAAUUGUACAAUCAAGCUGCUGUACUUACAUGGGUAAAAGAACGGAUAGUCCUAAGGAAUAGGAGAUUAUUACUACUGGAGGGUCAUGAUAUUCAAAUAGGGUGGCAUGGAUUUAUUUCGUAUGGGAGAAGCAUGGCACAUCAAUACAAGGCAUUAUAUAAGAAAUGCAUUACUAGUAGUGUGGAAUAAAAACAAAAUUAUAUGAAAAUACUAGUCUGGCUCUCCACCUUGGAAGAACUGAUACCCCCAGACCUUAUAAAUAUGGAAAAAAAUUGUUACAUAUAAGGGUAUAUUAAAUGAGAAGGUGAAUUGAAAACCAGAUUCGAAUUCAAGAACAAAGGAUGGAAUUGGAGUGAGAAUGGUGUAUGCACAGCAAUGGAAAAGUGAAAACACCCCUUCAGAAAAUGAGAUAAGAUGUUAACAUGGACAGAAAUGGAUAGACUUAACAGAAUUUAAAAAUGACACAUGGAACAUUUUAUCAAUGGCUGGAAACACAAGAUGGGAGCCAGAACAUAGAAAAAUUAAGUAGACAUGAAAUGAGAUGUGUGUAUUAGAAUGAAUACAUUGGUCAAAAAUAAUUGUAUAAGACUAGCACCGUGUAAGUUGUGUAUAUGUUAUUUAUUUUUCACCAUGGUUUCUAUGGCGGAUGAAAUGCCAGGACGGUCACUGUUCGAUAUAUGUAAAUAAAUUAUUUUUUU